UGAAGGUCUUCCGUGUGCCAGG
rnacentral:miRNA from 1 species